AAGAAAGGCCGGCUCUGCGCCUGGCGGCCCUUCGUGAUGGGAGGGAACCCCGGAGGUCCUCUAGUCCAACCCCCCACCCCCACCCCCGGUUCCAUCCAAGCCAAACGGCGGUUUGCUCCCUUCUUCAAAGCCUUCAGCGACGGAGAAGCCUCAGCUUCCAGAGGUGCCUUGGAGAAUAACUCAACCCUCUCUUCUCUGUGAGAGAAAGAAGAGCAAGGAAGAUGAUUGAAGGCCUGGAGACAAAAACCUAUGAAGAACCAUUGCAGGAUUUGGGUUUGGCUAGUCUAGAGAAAGUGGGAUGCGGUGGUUCAGUGGCUAAGACACUGAGCUUGUUGAUCGAAAGGUCGGCAGUUCAGCGGUUCGAAUCCCCAGUGUCGUGUAAUGGGUGAGCUCCUAUUACUUGUCCCAGCUUCUGCCAACCUAGCAGUUCAAAAGCACGUCAAAAAUGCAAGUAGAAAAAAUAAGGACCACCUUUGGUGGGAAGGUAACAGGGUUCUGUGCACCUUUGGUGUUUAGUCAUGCCGGCCACAUGACCACGGAGACGUCUUCCGACAGUGCUGGCUCUUCGGCUUUGAAACAGAGAUGAGCACCGCCCCCUAGAGCCGGGAACGACUAGCACAUAUGUGCAAGGGGAACCUUUGCCUUUACCUUUAGUCUAGAGAAAAGGAGGACCAGGGGUGACAUGAUAGCAGCAUUCCAGUAUUUGAGAGGUUGCCACAAAGAGUGGGGGGGGGGUGUCAGCUUAUUCUCCAAAGCAACAAUGGAUGGAAACAAUGGAUGGAAACUAAUCAAGGAGAGAAGCAACCUGGAAUUAAGAAGAAACUUCUUAACAGUGAGAACAAUUAGCCAGUGGAACUGCUUGCCUUCAGAAAUCAUGGGCGCUCCAUCACUGGAUGUUUUUAAGAAGAGUCUAGAGUCACUUGUCUGAAAUGGUAUAGGAUUUCCUACUUGAGCGGGGGCUGGACUAGAAGACCUCCAAGGUCCCUUCCAGGUCUAUUCUGAUUAUAACUCUUCUUCAUAUGUUUUAGCCUCCAGCUCCCUAAUCAUCUAAUGCACUGACCUGACCUUCUUAAGCCACUUUAGGCCUGUCAGAAAGAACAAGGCAUCCUUGAGUAAUCUUUUAGAAAACAAUAAAACAAUCACUGGGAUGAAGAAAUGCAGUGGGCAUAGUGUGUCCUACCACAGUCCUGCUAUAGAAGAUGGCAGAAGAUGGGCCAUGCUGAGCUAGAUCAGAUGGCUACAGAACUGACAACCAUUGUGCCCAAAUAGCACCAACAGCUCUGUCAAGCUGAAUCACCACUGAUACUCCAUAUAUAUAUGUAUGUAUGUAUGUAUAUGUAUGUAUAUAUAGUUUCAAUAAUAUGUUUAAAAAUAAAAAUGAACAAAGUUUCAAUGUAAAUAUGGGGAAAAUAGCAAAUACCUUAGAGAAGGCAAGGUCAUGAUUUAGAAGGAUGUUAAGAAGCUGGAGCAAUGGGCAAAAUUUCCAUCAGAAUAUAGACAAACCCUACAUUUGAGAAGGAUAAACCAAAGGUGUGACUUUAGAUGCAGGGAAUGAUCACCCUGGACUCAUCCCUGCAGUUUCCUUGCCAAGAUUUCAGAAGUGGGUUGCCACUACCUCCUUCCUAGGGCUGAGAGGUGGUGAGUGGCCCAAGGUCACUGUGCUUAAGGAGGGCAACAGCAUGUACCAAAAGUUUAUGAUCACAGACUCGGAGUGAAUCAGCUGCAAAAUAAAAGUGCAUCAAGAAUAAAGGCAAGAUCAAAGGAAAUUAUUCUCCCUGUGCAUGUCACUCCACAUAUAGAAUAUAUUUCCAGCACUGGACACUACAUAUUGGAGGGACACUGACCAACCAGAAUGAAAAAUGAUUGGGGAACUUGGGUAUAUUUAGCCUUAUGAUGAUUGCAAGAUAGCUAUCUUCAAGAACCUAAAGGGUUGCCAUAUGGAAGACGGGGCAGAAUAGUUGUUCCAGAAGCCAGGGCAAUAAAUAACUUUAUUACAA